UUUGUCUUGAGAUUGUCCAGAUAAUACUUUAAUAUUUUUUAGUUUUUAGUACAGUUCUAAAUUUUCAAAGGCAUUUUUAAAAAUAUUUAUUUUUAUUAAUAAUAUUACUAAUAAUAUUUUUCACUUUAUUUUUCAUCAUAUUGGUUGGUUCUUGCUCUGAACUAAACACUGUCAUGAAAUACAUUUUUUUCCAUGCCGUUUUUUUAUUGUGGUAUCAGCUAUUGCAUGUAAAUUACACUUAGAAAUCUUUGGUUGGUCAAUGUACAUGGCAGUCAGACGACCUCUUCCUAUCUAGGUGGGCAGUUUUUGGUCACAGGUCAGAAGUCUGUAUUUAUAAGAUAAAAAAACAUUUGUAACCUGGCUCGGGUCUAAUGUUUUGAGACACUGGUUUCUCACUUAGUAUCUUGGCUGAGGUGGUUUAACUGAGCUGGAUUAUAGUGGUCUUAAUUAACGGUCAUUAGAGAGCAGUGAGGAGACAUGCUUCAUUAAAUCCCACCACCUCGGGCACGAGGGAAGCCAGCGGAUCGUACCCAUCCUAAACCUACUUCACAACACAACCUCAGCACGCUCAUGUGGUUUCAGCUGCGUCAUAAAAUUAUAGACUGCUUUUUCAAUUACUCUGCUACUGUGAGAGUAGAGAACUGUUCACUCAAUCACAGAUGAUGGCAUAUAACAUACAGUUCAGUACAACUAUAUGUGUGCAGUUUAAUAAGUCAGCGUUGAGAAUACAACUAGACACCAUUGUGUUUCAGAUUCCAUCGUCUUUUUUUUUUUUUUGACCUGAAAAGUUAUUCCACUCAACAGCUAGUAAGCGUAGACUUGUAUUGAAGCGUACUGAACACUUUAGUUUCUUAUCAUAUGCCAAGAGCAGUCGCCAGGCACUUCACAAUCUCUUAAAGUUCUCAUCCAGCUUUCUGAAGAAUUUUUCUCAUUAUUUUACACUUGUAAAACACAUUGUUAUUUUGAGGUGCGAUGGAGUUUAUAGUGAUGGACUCUGACUGGACACAACAGCAGGUAUAUUGUAGUAAUCUCUUUGUAUUUCUAAAAAAUAAAAGUGAAGUUAUCAACAUUUAGUAAAGCAUUGACCUAUUACAUGCUAAUAUUGACAUUUGAGAGCUUUUUGUACGUGAAUUUCAAUGCAUAAGAUUGCAUUUUAAAUGUUUCCUUUUUGCAGCUUGACAGUGUGCAUAAUUAUCGGCCUUUACUGUAUGGAAAAGAGGAGUUCAAAUAUACUGCAAAAAAAAAAAAGGUCAUGCAUACAAUAUUGAAAGAACAAAAUGCUUGAUAAUGUGCAUAAUCAAAUUUAAUUUGACGGAAAAGAGGAGUUCAAAUAUAUGUUAAAACAUCUCUUUUUAAAAAAAAAAAAAGAAGAAUGCAUGCACAUUUGUAAGAACACAAGGGUGAGUAAAUGAUGACAGAAUUUUCCUGUUUCAGCUGAAAUAAUGUUAAUUUUAAGGUGUUUCUUUGUCCUUUUCACAGCUUGAUAGUGUGCAUAAUCGUCAACUUUCAUUGUAUGGAAAAGAGGAGUUCAAAUAUUCUGCAAAACAUCUCUUUCUGCAUGCAGGUUUGGAACAACACAAGGGUUGAAAGACAUGCUCUGUUUUUCCAUGUAAAGGGCCUUGAGUCCAAAGGAAAAAUUGUGCCGAGUCUCAACGCUGCCGGACCUCUCCAAGCUUCUGUGAUGCAGAACCGAAUCCGAGAGCUGUGGUUUGAACCAUAAAUCCAAACAUAUAUGGAGUCCUUUCGCCAAAAUAAGCUUCAGAUAAUGCAGUGGAUCUGUCCACAGGGCACACAUACUCUUAGCUGCUGUGUCUUUUGGACGAAACAAAACCAGUGGCUUUGAGAAGCAGAUUAUAAGGAGACGCUUCUCUCCCUCCCGUCUGGCCGCAGAGCCGCUGGGUGCGUGAGUGAGUCGUCUUAAGGAGUCUUGCAGCAGAUCAGUUGCUCACUCACUGUGUGUUCCAGAGCAAAGCCUCACACCUGGCUUGCCAAACGCAACAGAGGUCACGUCUGGACGCUCGCCCUCCCUCCAUUGUGUCUCACAGAGCUGUUGUCUCUCAAUCAUAUACAUUAACUUUGGCUGCUUUACGUUUAUUUUUGAAUUUUUGCAUUUCCACUGCAAUGUCCAGUUCAAACUUAAACCCAAAACAGUUUUUAAGCACAAACUUUCUAUACAUUUCACUUUCAAUACAUUUAUAAAUUUCACUAUUGAGCUUUUUACUUCUCAGUGGUGAUUUUCAUUAAGAUUCUCUUUAUUGCAAUAAAGUACUGUGGAAUUUUCAAUCAGCAUAAAUUAAAGCCGAUUUAACAGCAACUACUAUGAACAUGAAUACCUUUCAAUUUAAAUUGUCAUUUUUUUUUUUUACAUUAUAUUAACAAAAAUUUGAUUAUGAUUAAUUGAUUUAUUUUUUAUUUAAUGUAUUUCUCUGCUUGUAUGCAAUAAUAAUUAAUGGGGUAACUGCUUAAAAAUAGGUGAGUCUCAUAUCAAGAUCUCAGUUCUUCCAAAAUGUAAAAAAAAGCAUAACAUUUUUUGCAUACAUUUAAUGGGGUCUACUUUAGGACCAUUAAGAUUUUUUGUAACUUUUUUAAUGACAGUUGAGUAGAAUAUCCUCAAAAUUCAUUGCUGUAAUGCAUCCACAUGUUUACUUUUGACCAUUUCUUUGUAAUUUUAUUAUUUUCAAUAGUGAUUCUAUCUAGACUUUUUUUUUAACCUAGCACAAAUUGAAGUAUAACUAAAGUCCAUAACAAACAUUACCAUAUUUAAAUUUACUAUUUAAAUUAUACAUAAUUAUUUUUCUCAGAUUAAAAUAAUUUCUGUAAUUAGAUUUUUGGCCGAAAUUGUCAAGAACAUGAUGUCAAAAUGAAAUGUAUGCAUGUAUUUAUUUAUUUAUAUCCAUAAAACUUCCUUUAAACAAAAUAUAUAUAUCAUUGAUUUUUAGGUGGAAUAUGAACCAGACAAGUUCACUACACCCACAACAUUUAUCCUUAAAAAUCUUAAAAAUGAUAUAUAUAGACCAGUAGUAUCCAGCUUAGUAUCUGUGAUCUGUGUGAGCAUAAAAUCAGUCAUGUUACACCUCUGAGUGUUCGCAGACUGUUUGUAAGUGCUUGAACAACAAAACUGACAACAGAGGUUUUGUUUUUCCAAAGCGUUUUUAUUGUCUGUACGCUUAAAACUAAUUUACGAAGGUCAGCGUUUAUAACCACAGCACAGAAACCUUGUUGGCCGAUGCAUUUUCUCAGAAAAUAUUCCCCACUCUGACUGGAGAACGACCAGCCACAAAUCCCGGUCUUGGCCCAAGUAUUUGCUGAAUGUGCAAAAAAAAUAAAACAAAAAAGAGGAGAACGGUGGGCUGCCAUGCAAAUUAAGUGCAGAUUCUGUCUAUAUGACUUUUUUUGAGUAUGUGUGUAAUAAGAGAAAAAAAGAGAAGGAUGAAAAAUAGAGAGAAAUAAAUAGAGAGAAACUGGCAGAAGUCAUUGUUUCACUUGGCUGCGAACGGCGCUGUAUGGUUACAGCCCAGUCAUUAUCCAGGAAUUCUGAGCUGAGACGAAAAACCUUGACGCCUCUCUUUCUCUUUCUCCUUUCCCUACUUCAUAUCCAGGGCUAGAAGUAAUUUAAAGAGAAUUUGAAUUUACUUACAAAACCCCAAAGAAUUGUGACAUGCAGCCAGGGGGACCAUUUGAUGUGAUUUGUGGCACCAGCCAUGUUCAGACCCCAAGAAACCAAGAGUGAAUUUGGGUUAAAUAAUGGAAACCAAAGUCAAGCCUGAAAAAUUAAUGGUAUCAAUAAUUUGAUACCCUAGGCAUGA